ACUUGGUGAUGUGCGCAUUUGCGCAAAAGGUUCCUAAAGCGCUCCCAUGUCUCAAAAAACUGUUCACCAUUUAUUUUUGAGAAGCUGGUGAUUCCCUUUCUAAGCU